rnacentral:rRNA from 1 species
UACGAAGGGGGCUAGCGUUGUUCGGAAUCACUGGGCGUAAAGCGCACGCAGGCGGAUUGAUAAGUCAGGGGUGAAAUCCCGGAGCUCAACUUCGGAAUUGCCUUUGAUACUGUCUGUCUUGAGUCCGAGAGGUGAGUGGAAUUCCUAGUGUAGAGGUGAAAUUCGUAGAUAUUAGGAAGAACACCAGUGGCGAAGGCGGCUCACUGGCCCGGUACUGACGCUCAUGUGCGAAAGCGUGGGGAGCAAACAGG